rnacentral:rRNA from 1 species
CCUACGGGUGGCAGCAGUGAGGAAUAUUGGUCAAUGGGCGUAAGUCUGAACCAGCCAAGUCGCGUGAGGGAUGAAGGUUCUAUGGAUCGUAAACUUCUUUUAUAAGGGAAUAAAGUGUUGGACGUGUCGGAUUUUGUAUGUACCUUAUGAAUAAGGAUCGGCUAACUCCGUGCCAGCAGCCGCGGUAAUACGGAGGAUCCGAGCGUUAUCCGGAUUUAUUGGGUUUAAAGGGUGCGUAGGUGGAUUUUUAAGUCAGUGGUGAAAGUUUGUGGCUCAACCGUAAAAUUGCCGUUGAAACUGGGAGGCUUGAGUACAUUAGAGGCAGGCGGAAUGCGUGGUGUAGCGGUGAAAUGCUUAGAUAUCACGCAGAACCCCGAUUGCGAAGGCAGCUCGCCAGAC